GACGAACGCUGGCGGCGUGCCUAACACAUGCAAGUCGAGCGGGGUUGAAGCGAGGGGUAACUCGGACUUCUACCUAGCGGCGGACGGGUGAGUAACGCGUGGGCAACCUGCCUCAAGGUUUGGGAUAACAGCUCGAAAGGGCUGCUAAUACCGGAUAUGCCUGUGGCCUCGCAUGGGGCUAUGAGCAAAGGGGAAACCCGCCUUGAGAUGGGCCCGCGUCCCAUCAGCUAGUUGGUGAGGUGAAGGCUCACCAAGGCGACGACGGGUAGCCGGCCUGAGAGGGUGACCGGCCACACUGGGACUGAGACACGGCCCAGACUCCUACGGGGGGCAGCAGUGGGGGAUCUUGCACAAUGGGCGAAAGCCUGAUGCAGCGACGCCGCGUGAGCGAAGAAGGCCUCGGUUGUAAGCUCUGUCUGGAGGACGAGAAAAUGACGGUACCUCCGGAGGAAGCCACGGCUAACUACGUG
rnacentral:rRNA from 1 species